rfam:Neotoma lepida isolate 417 scaffold_9190, whole genome shotgun sequence.
ACACAGGAUUUUUUUCUUAAAUCCAACAAAAACUAUCUAAAAAUGUGUAU